GUCGAGAAUCUUUCACAAUGGGGGCAACCCUGAUGGAGCGACGCCGCGUGGAGGAUAAGGUCUUCGGAUUGUAAACUCCUGUCAUGCGUGAACAAGGUUGCUUGGUUAAUACCUGGGCAAAUUGAUGGUAACGCAAGAGGAAGAGACGGCUAACUCUGUGCCAGCAGCCGCGGUAAUACAGAGGUCUCAAGCGUUGUUCGGAAUCACUGGGCGUAAAGGGUGCGUAGGUGGCGUGGUAAGUCAGAUGUGAAAGCCCGGGGCUCAACCUCGGAACUGCAUCCGAUACUGCCAUGCUAGAGUACUGGAGAGGUGACUAGAAUUCUCGGUGUAGCAGUGAAAUGCGUAGAUAUCGAGGGGAAUACCAAAGGCGUAGGCAGGUCACUGGACAGUUACUGACACUGAGGCACGAAGGCCAGGGGAGCGAACGGGAUUAGAAACCCUAGUAGUCC
rnacentral:rRNA from 1 species